rnacentral:rRNA from 1 species
GACGAACGCUGGCGGCGUGCUUAACACAUGCAAGUCGAGCGGAGCGGCGGACGGGUGAGUAAUACCUAUGAAUCUGCCUGAUAGUGGGGGAUAACUUUCGGAAACGGACGCUAAUACCGCAUCCUAUCAGAUGAGCCUAGGUCGGAUUAGCUCGUGGGUGAGGUAAUGGCUCACCAAGGCUACGAUCCGUAACUGGUCUGAGAGGAUGAUCAGUCACACUGGAACUGAGACACGGUCCAGACUCCUACGGGAGGCAGCAGUGGGGAAUAUUGGACAAUGGGCGAAAGCCUGAUCCAGCCAUGCCGCGUGUGUGAAGAAGGUCUUCGGAUUGUAAAGCACUUUAAGUUGGGAGGCGUUACCGACAGAAUAAGCACCGGCUAACUCCGUGCCAGCAGCCGCGGUAAUUC